GACGAACGGUCCAAACGUUAUUCGGAAUUACUUGGCUUAAAGGGUGCGUAGGCGGCCUGACAAGUUGGGUGUGAAAUACCUCGGCUCAACCGAGGAAUGGCGCUCAAAACUGCCAGGCUAGAGGAAGAUAGAGGUGAGCGGAACUUAAGGUGGAGCGGUGAAAUGCGUUGAUAUCUUAAGGAACACCCGUGGCGAAAGCGGCUCACUGGAUCUUUUCUGACGCUGAUGCACGAAAGCUAGGGGAGCAAACGGG
rnacentral:rRNA from 1 species